CCUACGGGUGACAGCAGUGAGGAAUAUUGCUCAAUGGACGAGAGUCUGACCCAGCCACGUAGCGUGAAGGAUGACUGCCCUAUGGGUUGUAAACUUCUUUUAUAUGGGAAUAAAAUGUUCCACGUGUGGGAUUUUGUAUGUACCAUAUGAAUAAGGAUCGGCCAACUCCGUGCCAGCAGCCGCGGUAAUACGGUGGAUCCGAGCGUUAUCCGGAUUUAUUGGGUUUAACGGUAGCGUAGGUGGAUUGGUAAGUCAGUUGUGAAAGUUUGCGGCUCAACCUUAAAAUUGCAGUUGAAACUGGCAGUCUUGAGUAUAGUAGAGGUGGGCGGAAUUCGUGGUGUAGCGGUGAAAUGCUUAGAUAUCACGAAGAACUCCGAUUGCGAAGGCAGCUCACUGGACUGAAACUGACACUGAGGCUCGAAAGUGUGGGUAACAAACAGGAUUAGAUACCCGGGUAGUC
rnacentral:rRNA from 1 species